GGCAAGAUGGCCGAGCGGUUAAGGCGGAAGGUUCAAGGAUAUCCUUGCCUGUAUAACAGGCUGUAUUCUUCUGGGGAAACCCGCGCGAGUUCGAAUCUCGCUCUUGUCA